UCCAGAGGCAGUAAGGACAGGCAUGAAAAGAGAAAUAGAUGAGAUGCUGCGUCUAGGGGUCAUUGAAGCUUCCGAUAGCCCCUGGGCAUCCCCGGUGGUUCUGGUCCCCAAAAAGGAUGGCACCACCAGAUUCUGUGUGGACUACCGUAAACUCAAUGACAAAACUGUCACCGAUGCCUACCCCAUGCCCAGAGUGGAUGAGCUGCUAGAUCGCAUAGCCAGGGGGAACUACCUAACUAC